UAGGGAAUCUUCGGCAAUGGACGAAAGUCUGACCGAGCAACGCCGCGUGAGUGAAGAAGGUUUUCGGAUCGUAAAAACUCUGUUGGUAGAGAAGAACGUUGGUGAGAGUGGAAAGCUCAUCAAGUGACGGUAACUACCCAGAAAGGGACGGCUAACUACGUGUCAG
rnacentral:rRNA from 1 species